AUCUCUCUGAGAAUACAAGCGGGGAUCGCUUACGCCGAGGAAUGCGAGGCAAGCAGUGCAAAAGGGCGGUACAUCUGCGCCGGCCAGCGAAAAGACGAGCGCGUGUAUUUAGCGGUGUGCAGGUUGGUCGUGCACCGGGUUAAAAGGAGGGUGCAUAUCGCGAGAUAGGAUCGGCCGCGGUAGCCGCGUACGACCGGCUGGCCGAGAUAAACAUCGAGCCAAACGAACCUGGCCAACCCCUUUCGGCUGACUUUUCAACCACCUUGCAACGAUUCGUAUAUCGCGACUGAUCUACCUCUCCCUCGCAUUUCGGCCCACUUUAUAUUGUAUAUACACACUAUGUAUGCGAACAGGGUCCAACGAUAUAUCGCCAUCUGUGGCUCAUUAGCUUAAGCGGUACAAAGCGAGUAACGUGGUCUCUCGCCUUGCUUCGCUGCGCCUUACCACGUGGGCUCUCGAGAGCCCGCUCGAGUCCGCUCGUCUCGCCUCGCCUCGCCUAUCACCGACCGCUUAACGGCCAUUAUACGGAUUAUUACCUUACUUCUCGAGUGGAAAACCGCCAACUGACGCCGUCUUGAAUCCCAAAACGAACGAGGAAGACAUUUUUCCAUACGGCAUUUCGACUUCUAGUUGAUCAUUCUUCGCUAACCGUUUCGUGGUUAAGGUGGCGCUGUCACUCGUAACAGGACGAGUCCAUUCGAGAAGCGGAGACGCGAGUAUGGUGAUAAUUUUUUUGAAAUCAGUGGAAAUUAUGUGUGUCAGUUUAAAAUACGAUUCGUAAAGAGGACGAUUUCGAAUUGGAGUGCACGGCCGCCACCCACGCUGGUAAGAACACGAACAGAUGUUUUACGACUUCCAUGAUUCUUCUACAUGAUGAUGGCUUUUAUGAUAACUUCUUAAAGCUUGACAGUCUUUAUGAUAACUUCUUAACAGCAUCAAUGAUCUUCGCAUCUAAUGGUGAGUCACAUGCACCUUUGUUCCUUCAAUCAUUUAAUCAUGUCAUAGGACGAAAAUUUCAAAUCGACAUAAAUGAUAUUGUACACGUAGACUUUUACACGAGU